rnacentral:rRNA from 1 species
GACGAACGCUGGCGGCGUGCUUAACACAUGCAAGUCGAACGGAAAGGCCCUGCUUUUGUGGGGUGCUCGAGUGGCGAACGGGUGAGUAACACGUGAGUAACCUGCCCUUGACUUUGGGAUAACUUCAUGAAACUGGGGCUAAUACCGGAUAGGAGCUCCUGCUGCAUGGUGGGUGUUGGAAAGUUUCGGCGGUUGGGGAUGGACUCGCGGCUUAUCAGCUUGUUGGUGGGGUAGUGGCUUACCAAGGCUUUGACGGGUAGCCGGCCUGAGAGGGUGACCGGACACAUUGGGACUGAGAUACGGCACAGACUCCUACGGGAGGCAGCAGUGGGGAAUAUUGCACAAUGGGCGGAAGCCUGAUGCAGAAACGCCGCGUGCGGGAUGACGGCCUUCGGGUUGUAAACCGCUUUCGCCUGUGACGAAGCGUGAGUGACGGUAAUGGGUAAAGAAGCACCGGCUAACUACGUG